rnacentral:lncRNA from 1 species
CUUUUGGGGCUUUAAGGGCUUUGGCUAAGGUUCUCCAGGGAGGCUGCUCUGCCAAGUCUGGUAUUUCAUGAAUAGAUCUGAAAACAGACAUUAUCUCUUCUCCCAGUGAAGAGAGAGCGAUGAAGCCUCAGGACAAAAGGAGGCAGUGGGAUGAUGCCACCAAGGGACCAUUCUGAAGAGCCAUCAGCAAAAAGCAGCCACACCUGCUUAUGUGGCUCUGGGACAAAUGAUCUGAGCCGUGACGUGGAACUUAGAUGCAGUAAAGUCCAUUGUAUUGAGCCUUCUCUGGCACUCCUCCCAAAACAGAGAGACAACAGUUCUGUUAUGUUUUGUUUGGUUUGGUCUCCCUCAACUCAUCAAUGAGCCUUUUUAAAAAGAAUAAUUCGGUACUUUCUUUAAA